AGCAAGGCUAAGUCUUCGAGAUGAAUAAUUUUUUUAUUGGAACAACCAAAAGAAGAAAGCGCUCCCACAGUUUUGGCUGGGAUGACACAGAAAAUGGCAAUUUAAAAAUCAGUGGUAAUGAUAAUCACUUUAAUUAUGGACCAAACGGUUUGGAACUUAACGGCAUCUUAAGGGUCUCGGGCAAUGACAAUCACGUGACAGGUGUAAAUGUGCGCCCCAGGCCAGAUGUUUUUGACAAG
rnacentral:sRNA from 1 species